rnacentral:rRNA from 1 species
GAUGAACGCUGGCGGCGUGCCUAAUACAUGCAAGUCGAGCGAACGGACGAGGAGCUUGCUUCUCUGAUGUUAGCGGCGGACGGGUGAGUAACACGUGGAUAACCUACCUAUAAGACUGGGAUAACUUCGGGAAACCGGAGCUAAUACCGGAUAAUAUUUUGAACCGCAUGGUUCAAAAGUGAAAGACGGUCUUGCUGUCACUUAUAGAUGGAUCCGCGCUGCAUUAGCUAGUUGGUAAGGUAACGGCUUACCAAGGCAACGAUGCGUAGCCGACCUGAGAGGGUGAUGGGCAACACUGGAACUGGACAACGGCCAGGACCCCACCGGAGGGAGGAGGAAGGGAACCUUCGGAAUUGGGGGAAGGCCUAACGGGCCAAGGCGGGUGGGUGAAGAAGGUCUUCCGAAUCGAAAACCCUGUUAUUUGGGAAGAACAUAAGGUUAAGUAACUGUGGACCUCCUGACGGUACCCAAACAGAAAGCCACGGCUAACCUAGGUC